UACGGGGGGGGCAAGCGUUGUUCGGAAUUACUGGGCGUAAAGGGCUCGUAGGUGGCCAACUAAGUCAGACGUGAAAUCCCUCGGCUUAACCGGGGAACUGCGCCUGAUACUGGAUGGCUUGAGUUCGGGAGAGGGAUGCGGAAUUCCAGGUGUAGCGGUGAAAUGCGUAGAUAUCUGGAGGAACACCGGUGGCGAAGGCGGCAUCCUGGACCGACACUGACACUGAGGAGCGAAAGCCAGGGGAGCAAACGGG
rnacentral:rRNA from 1 species